rnacentral:ncRNA from 1 species
UUUAAUUCUUAAGGUGCUUUUCGUAAAGAAAAGAGAAUAGGGAAUUCGGUGAAAAUCCGAAGCAGCGCCCACUACUGUGAUUUGGACGAAACCUUUAUGGGCUUAUGGCCGCCACUGGAAAAUUUUUCUGGGAAGGUUAAGGGAGUAGGUUGAUAAAAAGUCAGGAGACCUGCCUUAAGAAGC